UUUAGGAGUCUCCAGCGAGAGUGCUCUCGAGCACGCCCUCCAAGGAAUGAAAAACGAGUGGGUAUUCUGAGCUGCUGUUUGAUGCAUAGGCAUAAAAACAGUCAGAACCAAUCGCCCCCCAUCUGAAGGCGAAGGGAGGCUUCCCUCUGACCCACCGUGGUGAACCUCAACGGAUAGGCACUGAACUGGGGGGGGCAAUAAUAAUGCCCACACGUCCUCGGCGGCUCUCAUCAUCUGCAACUCCAGCGUAGAAGACGGUUCAAUCCCUCUCAAGAGGAGUGGUACCAGAGUCCAAUAUGUGUGUCGAGGAGAGUCAGACUAUAUCUAGUCGGAACUUCUCGACCUUGCACACCAGCUCGGGCUCCUUCCCUGCCAAGCCCAACUGUAUCUCGUCGGAACCUCCCCAACUCGCACGUCAGCUCAUGCUCAUUUCCAUCAUAGCGGAAGGCUUGGAGCCAAGACUCAAACACUGAACCUCAGCAGUGUGAUUGUGGACAUGCUAACCAUUGAAUUGUGCUGCCACCUGAGAUCAUCCCACGUUAACAUGGCUGUUCACUAUCUCACGUUUCAAUGAAAUUUUUUUUUGUUCUGAUAAGUAUGUAACAAAGACGAUGCCUGUGCAAGCUUUACAUAUUUUUCAUAAAUGGAAUCAUAAAUGAUUGAGCAAUUGUGCUGCUACUGAGCACAGCAUCAUUACGCUUGCCUCUUAGCUUUCAGACAAUAAUGAGAAGAAAAAAAGUAUUUUUUGGAUUCACAACAGUAUUAGUGUGUGUAAUUGUCAACAUUCGGACGAUUACACUUUAAGCAACUAAAUUUACUUGACAAGUGGAGUACGACUGCCUGCCAAACCGGCUGUUUAAUUUCUACUCUGGCGCGAGAUUCUAAAAUAUAAUUCUUGUAAUGUCAUCAAUGUUACAUCAUCCUUGGCUUGGAUCUUGAAAUUAUUUAACAAGAAGUCUAAAAUAUAAAAUCAGCAUCUAACAAUUUGAAGAAUAUUGGUGUUUAAAGCCCCAUUGACAUAUGUAGAACACGCCGUAAACAAUGAUACACACACUCUUACCGUCUGUUGUUAAGGUAGCUCGAAGAAGGGCUCCUAUACAGUAUGUUAACGGGACUGAUCGGUAAAUGUGUUUUUAGCUUGAAAUAGCAUUUCUUUUUUAAAUCUCUAUUUAACCACAGAAAUGCUUCAGAAAUCAGAGUUCUUUUUUUCACUUGUUGGUCAUAAAAAUUUGGAACAUCA